rnacentral:rRNA from 1 species
AACGAACGCUGGCGGCAUGCCUAACACAUGCAAGUCGAACGAGACCUUCGGGUCUAGUGGCGCACGGGUGCGUAACGCGUGGGAACCUGCCCUUAGGUUCGGAAUAACUCCCCGAAAGGGGUGCUAAUACCGGAUAAUGUCUUCGGACCAAAGAUUUAUCGCCUUUGGAUGGGCCCGCGUUGGAUUAGCUAGUUGGUAGGGUAAAAGCCUACCAAGGCGACGAUCCAUAGCUGGUCUGAGAGGAUGAUCAGCCACACUGGGACUGAGACACGGCCCAGACUCCUAGGGGAGGCAGCAGGGGGGAAUUUUGGACAAUGGGCGAAAGCCUGACCCAGCAAUGCCGGGUGAGUGAUGAAGGCCUUAGGGUUGUAAAGCUCUUUUACCCGGGAUGAUAAGGACAGUACCGGGAGAAUAAGCCCCGGCUAACUCCGU